rnacentral:rRNA from 1 species
CCUACGGGUGGCAGCAGUGGGGAAUAUUGCACAAUGGGGGAAACCCUGAUGCAGCGACGCCGCGUGAGGGAAGAAGUAUCUCGGUACGUAAAGCUCUAUCAGCAGGGAAGAAAAUGACGGUACCUGACUAAUAAGCCCCGGCUAACUACGUGCCAGCAGCCGCGGUAAUACGUAGGGGGCAAGCGUUAUCCGGAUUUACUGGGUGUAAAGGGAGCGUAGGCGGAUUGAAAAGUCCGUGGUGAAAUUCCGCGGCUUAACCGUGGAAUUGCAGUUGAAACUGUGCGGCUGGAGUGCAGGAGGGGAGGGCGGAAUUCGUGGUGUAGCGGUGAAAUGCGUAGAUAUUAGGAAGAACUCCGAUGGCGAAGGCAGGUGGCUGGACUGCAACUGACGUUGAGGCUCGAAAGUGUGGGUAUCAAACAGGAUUAGAUACCCGAGUAGUC